rnacentral:rRNA from 1 species
CAAACGACUCUCGGCAACGGAUAUCUCGGCUCUCGCAUCGAUGAAGAACGUAGCGAAAUGCGAUACUUGGUGUGAAUUGCAGAAUCCCGUGAACCAUCGAGUUUUUGAACGCAAGUUGCGCCCGAAGCCAUCCGGCUGAGGGCACGCCUGCCUGGGCGUCACGC